UACGAAGGGGGCUAGCGUUGCUCGGAAUUAUUGGGCGUAAAGGGCUCGUAGGCGGUCUGUUGCGUCGGGAGUGAAAAUUCACAGCUUAACUGUGAACUUGCUUCCGAUACGGGCAGACUUGAGGUAUUCAGGGGAGAACGGAAUUCCUGGUGUAGCGGUGAAAUGCGCAGAUAUCAGGAGGAACACCGGUGGCGAAGGCGGUUCUCCGGGAAUAUCCUGACGCUGAGGAGCGAAAGCGUGGGGAGCGAACAGG
rnacentral:rRNA from 1 species